AUUGAACGCUGGCGGCAUGCCUUACACAUGCAAGUCGAACGGCAGCGGACCUUCGGGUGCCGGCGAGUGGCGAACGGGUGAGUAAUAUAUCGGAACGUACCUUUCAGUGGGGGAUAACGUAGCGAAGUUACGCUAAUACCGCAUAUUCUGUGAGCAGGAAAGCAGGGGAUCGCAAGACCUUGCGCUGAUUGAGCGGCCGAUAUCAGAUUAGCUAGUUGGUGAGGUAAAGGCUCACCAAGGCGACGAUCUGUAGCGGGUCUGAGAGGAUGAUCCGCCACACUGGAACUGAGACACGGUCCAGACUCCUACGGGA
rnacentral:rRNA from 1 species